AUAUAUGUAUGUAUGUAUAUAAAGAUACACUUUAUCUAUACCCACUUUAUCGUAAGCAAUGUGGAAUGAAGCAACGGCGAAUGCGAAUUGAAAGGGAAUGGGAACGGGAAUAGGCUGGGAAUGGCAAUGAGAAUGUUCUCAUUGAGAAUCGGUUUCCGAAAAUGUUGGCUCCUGCAAUUUUCACAGCAACUGCAACUGCAACAGCGAAUGGCAAAAAUAAUAACAAUUUCAGUUCGUUUUUUUAGUGUCUUUUUUUUUUGCUCUGCUGUCAGUUGGAGCAACUGGAACUGGACAGCCCAGCUUGGACUUGAGGCAUUGUAUUUUGUUGUCCAUUUCAACGCUUGAAAUUCUUGUGGCUGCUGCUGUUGGCGUUGCCUCCUGUUUCUGCUGUUGCUGUAGCUGCAGCAGUUAAUUUAAUUUCAGCUCAUAAAUCAAAACUGUGCCGCGCAAAAUGUUUGCUUUUGACGCGGCGUUUUUGUCGCCUGGUCGAGACAAUUUUUCAGUCGGAGCAAUUUUUGGUUUUUUAUUUCUUAUAUUUUUUGGGUGGCAGGGGUUGUUGGAGGCACGCAGGCAGCCGGAACUGAAUACUGAACACUGAAACUGGGGCUGCGACUGCUAAGUUAGUCAACUUUACAGCCGGUUGACGUUUGACAAACAAUGGCAAAGACAACAGCAGCAGCAGCAACAACAACAACUCUAGCAGCAGCAGCAACAGCUUAACUUGGUCAGCUGGCAAACACAAAUUGCAAGCAGCUGCAAUUCUUAAGCAAAGAGGAAAACGUGAGUGUGAGAGUGACAGAGAGAGG